AUACGAAGGGUGAAAGCGUUACUCGGAAUUAUUGGGCGUAAAGCGCGCGCAGGUGGUUCCUUAAGUCUGAUGUGAAAGCCCCCGGCUCAACCGGGGAGGGUCAUUGGAAACUGGGGAACUUGAGUGAAGAAGAGGAUAGUGGAAUUCCAAGCGUCGAGGUGAAAUGCGUAGAGAUUUGGAGGAACACCAGUGGCGAAGGCGACUGUCUGGUCUGUAACUGACACUGAGGCGCGAAAGCGUGGGGAGCAAACAGGAUUAGAUACCCUGGUAGUCCACGCCGUAAACGAUGAGUGCUAAGUGUUGGGGGGUUUCCGCCCCUCAGUGCUGCAGCUAACGCAUUAAGCACUCCGCCUGGGGAGUACGGUCGCAAGACUGAAACUCAAAGGAAUUGACGGGG
rnacentral:rRNA from 1 species